rnacentral:rRNA from 1 species
UACAGAGGGUGCGAGCGUUAAUCGGAAUUACUGGGCGUAAAGCGUGCGUAGACGGCUAUCUAAGUCGGGUGUGAAAGCCCCGGGCUCAACCUGGGAAUUGCAUUCGAGACUGAAUAGCUAGGGUGCGGUAGAGGGAAGCGGAAUUUCCGGUGUAGCGGUGAAAUGCGUAGAUAUCUGGAGGAACACCGGUGGCGAAGGCGGCAUCCUGGACCGACACUGACGCUGAGGCGCGAAAGCUAGGGGAGCAAACGGG